CAAAAACAUCGCCUCCUGCAACACAACCAAGUAUAGGAGGUCCAGCCUGCCCAGUGACUACAAGUUCAACGGCCGCGGUAUUUUGACCGUGCAAAGGUAGCGCAAUCACUUGUCUUUUAAAUAGAGACCUGUAUGAAUGGCUAAACGAGGGCUUAACUGUCUCCCCUUUCCAGUCAGUGAAAUUGAUCUACCCGUGCAGAAGCGGGUAUAAUAAUACAAGACGAGAAGACCCUUUGGAGCUUAAGGUACAAAACUCAACCACGUUAAGCAACUCAAUAAAAAGUGAAAACUUUGUGGAACAUGAGAUUUUACCUUCGGUUGGGGCGACCACGGAGGAAAAAAAAGCCUCCAGGUGGAACGGGAAAAUUUCCUAAAACUAAGAGAGACAUCUCUAAGCCACAGAACAUCUGACCAAAUAUGAUCCGGCUAAUACAAGCCGAUCAACGAACCAAGUUACCCUAGGGAUAACAGCGCAAUCCUCUCCCAGAGUCCAUAUCGACGAGGGGGUUUACGACCUCGAUGUUGGAUCAGGACAUCCUAAUGGUGCAGCCGCUAUUAAGGGUUCGUUUGUUCAACGAUUAAAGUCCUACGUGAUCUGA
rnacentral:rRNA from 1 species